GGUUCCACUUCCUCAUUAGGCCGUUACCCCCCCGCCCAAUCCGCGCCCUUCCCCCCCCACCUCUGCCUAGCCUAAGCCACGCCUUCUUCUCUUGGCUUAUGUGAGUUCAGCCGCUUUUCACAACUUUGAGGAACAAACGUUUGUACAGGAUUCUGCUGAUAGACGAAGAAGAGGAGGAGAAUAAUAAAAGAGAGAUGAAGAAUCGUCUGCUUCAUCCCCCUUCAGUGGGAUCAGUGUGCUUGCGGUGUUGAAUGGAAGGGAUGAUUGUAAAGAUGGAGUCCUGUGUUUACCAGAGGAGGCUGGUGAGGGGAGGACGGCUCAUAAUAAAGACUGGAACCGAGAGAAUGGAAUGCCAUCGAACACAUAUAUCCUCCAGGAGGUUUUAACUCCAACCCUGUUCCUGGAGAGAUACCCUCCUGGAGGAUUUAACUCCAACCCUGUUCCUGGAGAGAUACCCUCCUGGAGGAUUUAACUCCAACCCUGUUCCUGGAGAAACAGAGUAGAGAGCUGGUUGAACUAACUAAACUGGUAGAAACAGUAGAGAGCUGGUUGUAUAGACUGUAAACGGGUCCAAUGUAUUGCAUGCUGGGACAAGCCAUUUAAUAACUGGUGAGGAUGAUGAGGAUGACGAUGUUGUUACAGAUGUACGUAAGCUUCUGUUGUGAUCUUUCUUAUAUUAUGUAUGUUAUACCUGUCAGAUGUCAAUAAACACUUUUCUCCGUCGCUCGUCAAUAAACUGUCCAGUGAUUGGUUCAGUCACAGACCCUCAAUUGCACCCCCCCCCAAAAAAAAGCCUAGUGUUUAAGAGCGUUGGGACAGUAACUGAAUGGUCGCUGGUUCGAAAUCCCAGAGGUGGACAAAUCGGCCGUUCUGUCCUUAAGCAAGGCAGUUAUAACGCCCAACAAUUGCUCCCCGUGCGCCGAUGACGUGGACGCCGAUUAAGGCAGCCCCCCCCUGGGCACCUCUCUGAUUCAGAGGGGUUGGGUUAAAUGCAGAAGAUACAUUUCAGUUGUGCAACUGACUAGAUACCCCCUAGAUACCCCCUAGAUACCCCCUAGGUACCCCCUAGAUACCCCCUAGAUACCCCCUAGGUAUCCCCUAGAUACCCCCUAGAUACCCCCUAGAUAUCCCCUAGGUACCCCCUAGAUACCCCCUAGAUCCC
rnacentral:lncRNA from 1 species